rnacentral:rRNA from 1 species
AUGGAGCUCUUUCCAUGGCUCAUCCUGUUUGGUGUUCUUGUGCAGGCUUCUGUCAUCCUGGCUGAUACAAAUGCGCAAGACACUGCUGGCCUCACCGGGAUUGCAGCUUCCUGGGACACCAAACCAUCAAACUGGGAUGGCAAUGAUCCAUGCGGCGACAAGUGGAUCGGGAUAAUUUGCACCCAGGACCGGGUCACAUCCAUAAGAUUGUCAAGUCAAUCACUGUCCGGAACUCUUUCGGGGGACAUUCAAUCUCUGUCGGAACUACAAUACUUGGACUUAUCCUACAACAAGGACUUGGGUGGCUCUCUUCCUUCAUCCAUUGGAAGCUUGAGCAACCUCCAAAAUUUAAUACUUGUUGGCUGCAGCUUUGCUGGUGAAAUACCUAAAGAGAUUGGCCAGCUCUCAAAGUUGAUAUUUCUAUCUCUGAACUCCAACAGGUUCACUGGUCGCAUACCGCCGUCACUCGGUGGCCUCUCAAAGCUAUACUGGUUUGAUCUGGCUGACAAUAAGCUCACUGGAGGACUUCCGGUAUUCGAUGGAACAAAUCCCGGUUUGGAUAAUCUGACAAAUACAAAGCACUUCCACUUCGGCGUCAAUCAGCUCUCUGGCACCAUACCGAGCCAGAUUUUCAACUCACAAAUGAAGCUGAUACAUUUUCUUGUCGACAACAACAACUUUUCUGGCAGCAUCCCCCCUACUCUAGGCCUUCUUAAUGUGCUGGAAGUUCUACGUUUUGAUAACAACAAUCAGUUGUCUGGGCCAGUUCCCACCAACAUCAACAACCUCACCAAGCUGGCUGAACUCCAUCUAGAAAACAACGGGCUCACUGGCCCUCUGCCAGACCUGACAGGAAUGAGUGCACUCAGCUUUGUGGACAUGAGUAACAACAGCUUCAAUGCAUCCGAUUCUCCAGCCUGGUUGACUGCUUUGCCGUCUUUGACUUCAUUAUACCUAGAGAAUCUGCAAAUCGGCGGACAGCUCCCGCAAGAGCUUUUCACCCUUCCUGCAAUUCAGACACUGAAGCUUCGGGGCAACCGCUUCAACGGCACCCUAAACAUUGGGUCAGACUUCAGUAGUCAGCUCCAAACAAUUGAUUUGCAGGACAAUCAAAUCGAAGCGAUCACUGUUGGGGGAACCCAAUACAACAAGAAGCUCAUACUUUUAGGAAACCCAAUAUGCAACCAAGGGAACAACGAGCAAUACUGCAAAGCCGCGCCACAAUCCAACCCGGCGGCACCGCCAUAUGCUACUCCUAAGAACUGCUCAGGGCUGCCAGCAACAUGCCUCUCAAGCCAACUUCUGAGCCCAAGCUGCACAUGUGCCGUACCGUACAAAGGCACACUGUUCUUCAGAGCACCAUCGUUUUCUGACCUCAGCAACGAGUCAUACUAUCAUCUACUGGAGAAGGACAUGAAGACCAAGUUCUUGUCAUACAGUGCCCCCGUCGACUCGAUCGCUCUUCAUAACCCAUUCGUUGAUGUGAACAACAACUUGCAGCUGAGCUUGGAGGUCUUCCCCGGCGGCAAGGUUCAGUUUGGGGCGCAGGACAUUUCUGACAUUGGGUUCAUUUUGAGCAAUCAAACGUAUAAGCCGCCCGCUGUUUUCGGUCCAUACUAUUUCAUCGCCCAAAGCUACCGUAUUGCAACAGAGGUGCCAGCAUCUAAAAAAUCAAAGGCGAACAAGUUGCCACUUAUCGUCGGAGUCGCAGCCGGUGGUGCAGUUGUUAUUGCAGUGCUGCUUCUUGUUAUUUUUUUCAUCACGAGACGGAAGAGAGAACCAAAGAAGACCGAAGAGAGAAGCCAGUCUUUCGCUUCUUUGGACAUGAAGAGCACCAGCACCAGUGUGCCACAGCUGCGCGGUGCGCGCACGUUCACGUUCGCUGAACUGAAGAAGAUAACCAAUAACUUCUCGGAGGCGAACGACAUAGGAAAUGGCGGCUUCGGGAAGGUUUACAGGGGGACACUUCCAACUGGGCAACUGAUCGCUGUCAAGAGAUCCCAGGAGGGAUCCCUGCAGGGGAGCCUGGAAUUCAGAACCGAGAUCGAGCUCCUGUCCAGGGUUCACCACAAGAAUGUGGUGAGCCUCCUCGGUUUCUGCCUUGACCAGGGCGAGCAGAUGCUGGUCUACGAGUACAUCCCCAAUGGCACACUCAAAGAGAGCCUCACAGGCAAGUCCGGCGUGCGGCUGGACUGGAAGCGGAGGCUCCGUGUCAUCCUCGGCACGGCCAAGGGCAUCGCCUACCUCCACGAGCUCGCAGACCCUCCGAUUGUCCACCGGGACAUCAAGUCGAGCAACGUUCUCCUCGACGAGCGGCUCAAUGCCAAGGUCUCGGACUUUGGCCUCUCCAAGCUUCUAGGCGAGGACGGCAGGGGGCAGGUCACCACACAAGUGAAGGGCACAAUGGGUUACUUGGACCCUGAGUACUACAUGACGCAGCAGCUGACGGAGAAGAGCGACGUCUACAGCUUCGGCGUGCUGCUGCUGGAGAUGAUCACGGCCAAGAAGCCGCUGGAGCGCGGGCGGUACAUCGUCCGGGAGGUGCUCGCCGCGCUCGACCGGAGCAAGGAUCUGUACGGCCUGCACGACCUGCUGGACCCGGUGCUGGGCGCGUCGCCCACGUCGCUGGGCGGGCUGGAGCAGUAUGUGGACCUGGCUCUGCGCUGCGUGGAGGAGGCCGGCGCGGACCGCCCCUCCAUGGGCGAGGCGGUGAGCGAGAUCGAGCGGAUCACCAGGAUGGCCGGCGGCGGCCCCGAGUCGGCGUCCGAGUCCAUGAGCUACGCCAGCAGGACGCCGCGCCACCCCUAUGGAGGAGACAGCCCGUCGGAGUACAGCGGCGGCGGGCUGCCGUCAUCGAGGGUGGAGCCCAAGUGA